AUGUUGAAGUGACAAUUUGCCUGCAAUUUUUCAGUACACUGCGCUGUUUGUUUGCAAUGCAACUUAUCAAAAACAGCGAUGAUGUUGCAAUGCAUUUUGUUGUUCAGAAAUUAAGUAAUUUUUUUAAUACAAUAUCCCGUUUCGGAGCAAGGAUGCAAAGCAGACGCCAUCAUAUUUGGAGAUGUGUCUUCUGCAGCAGUCUACGUUUACUCUAGCACCGCGCAGUAGUACAAAUUGGAGCAGCAGUAGAAGUUUAAAUAAACAUAUUUACAAGAGUUAUAAAACGAAAACUAUGUGUGUAGUGCAGUUAUUAACUCUAGUGCAGUAGUUCUCAUGAGUUUUGUGCAGUUCGGAGUCUUCAAAAACAUAACCAUGACAGGGUCAGUACAAAGUUGUAGCAGUAAUUGAACAUCGGCCAACAAAGCCAUGAACAUGCGGUGGGAAGAGGCUGACCAUAGGAAGCAGCUUUUUGGAAAAAAUAAAAUAGGGAAAUCAAUUAAACUACGUUGGAUCACCUUCAUGUAGUCACUGGAAAAGCAGAAGUUAUCAUCGAGGGUAGCAACAGCAUAGAAGGCCACUUAUGAUUUGAACGAGAUGAAGAAGCAGUAACCCAAUCGUUGAUAAGUUGAGAGGCAAUUCCUGGAAAAGCUGUACAUCGCGCCCACCUCGCCUGCGUACAUCUGCGGCUAGAAGGAGGCUGUCCAGGCGGCUGUACAGGAAAGCCCAGCCUUAUCAGCUGCGAGUGAAAAGCUGACAGUUCAUCAGUCUCCAGCAACAUCAACUGGACGACUCUCAACAUUUCCUUUUUAUUUGCCAUAGAUUCCCAUCGUAUAAAUUUACAGUUUUUGUUUACAAUAUAUUUGUAGUUGCAGGUUCACAAACGGAGAGCAGAUUUAAGAAGCUGACCAUCCAUCGCACUUUC
rnacentral:lncRNA from 1 species